rnacentral:misc_RNA from 1 species
CUUUAUUGAUGAAGGCUUGGACUUGGAGGUCGUGCCGGCUCUCGUAGUCGGCUCCUCUGAAAUGCAUUAGUGCGAACGUUACCAGCCGCUUCAGCGUGAUAAUUAUCUGCGUUGCUGUGGAGGGUAUUCUAGUGUUCACGCUUCUAACCGUCUUCGGACAAAUUUCUGAACUCUGAGCU